rnacentral:rRNA from 1 species
UACGUAGGUGACAAGCGUUGUCCGGAUUUACUGGGCGUAAAGAGCGCGCAGGCGGUCGUUCAAGUCGAGUGUGAAAGCCCCCGGCUCAACUGGGGAGGGUCACUCGAUACUGAUCGACUCGAAGGCAGGAGAGGGUAGUGGAAUUCCCGGUGUAGUGGUGAAAUGCGUAGAUAUCGGGAGGAACACCAGAGGCGAAGGCGACUACCUGGCCUGUUCUUGACGCUGAGGCGCGAAAGCGUGGGGAGCGAACAGG